GUACAGAGUAGGGAGAGCAGUUCCCUUUGGUCUCAAGUGCUGCCCUCUGUGUCAAGGGAGCCCCCUGAAAGGAGAAGGAAUUUGCUUAUCUUCCAAGAUCAACCAAGAUCAGCAUAAAAAACACCUUGUGCCCUCCAGGAAUGUCCUGCAUGUGUUGCCAGAACUGGAAGACAAAAGGCAAGUGAAGGUGCAAGCCAGCAAACUGGGAACUUGCAGAUGAAGGGCAGAAUCAAGAGAGCCUUGGGCUAACAGGGUAUUUGUGCAUGCAGGAGGGAAGAGCUGCCCAGCUGAGAUUUAGCAGUGAUAGGAGAAAAGGAAUUUCUCUGUGUUCCUAAGGGAGGACUGGGACUUGGAUUUUAGCCAACCCACAAACCAUUGAGUAUGGUUGGACUGCAAAGAGCAAAGGAAAAGUCACAUGUUGCCAAGACUCAACAAUAACUUCCUUUUUAGGACUUUUGUUUUAUCUGGCUCAUCCUGCACAGCUGUUUUCUCCCUAAUUACUUAGUUCUUCACUCCUGUGUAAUGCAUUAUAAGUGAGUUAAGUCUAGAUGUUUGAGGGCAUGUCUUUGUACUUCUUCUUCAAGGAAAGUGAGAGCAAUUCUACUUUUCAAUUUGGAGUCCCAUCACACAGCAAUAUGGAAGGAAAAUAUAAAGAAACUGUCAUUUGGAAAUGAAUGACCUUUGCACUACUAUAAUAAAAGCAGUCUUUUGGAAUCAUUCCAGACAAAAGAUGCUGCAUAAAGUUUUAGAUCCUGGCUGUGAAAUGAUGGCCUGUGAAGUGAUGGCUGCUUUCCCAGGGAGAUGGAAAAUACUCAACAUUUCAUAAAGUAGACGCUUCAAAAUGGGAAUUGGUUACAUCUGAGAGAAACUUUUAGGACAACACCUCUUAUCUGUGGAUACAAUAUGGAGUAAUUAAAAGGUAUGAACAGAAUGCAAAAUUGU
rnacentral:lncRNA from 1 species